rnacentral:rRNA from 1 species
CAGUCGCCACGGGAAUACGAGGAGGGCAAGCGUUGUUCGGAAUUAUUGGGCGUAAAGGGUGCGUAGGCGGCCCCGCAAGUCUCAUGUGAAAUCUUCAGGCUCAACUUGAAGUCUGCAUGGGAAACUGCGGGGCUGGAGUAUGGGAGAGGUGAGUGGAAUUCCUGGUGUAGCGGUGAAAUGCGUAGAUAUCAGGAGGAACACCUGUGGCGAAAGCGGCUCACUGGACCAUAACUGACGCUGAGGCACGAAAGCUAGGGGAGCAAACAGGAUUAGAUACCCCCGUAGUCCCUGUCUCUUAUAC